ACAGUGUUGCAGGCAUAGGGCCAGGGGCCAAGAACCAAGGGCCUGAGGGUACAAGUAACAUGUACUCAGUGAUUCAGGUGGGUAAGGAGAAGUAUGCCACCUCAGUGUCAGAGGAGGAGGCCACCUUUGAGCUGCUGCUGCUACUGUACUUGGGCUUCGCCGAGGUGUACCUGCAGGACCUGCACCCAGACUAGGGGAGCAGGAAGAUGCAGUGGUAUACCUUGAAAUCCAAACCAGGAGAGAAGGAUAAAGAGGAGAAAUUGAGGUUGACAUCCAGUUUAUGAGAAACAACAUGACUGCCAGUAUGUUUGAUCUUUUCAUCAAAGACAAGCCACGGAAUCCAUUAGGAAAACCUAAAGACAAGAUCAAGGGGAAGAAUAUGGAUAGUGCAUCAGAUGCUGCCUCCACCAUAGUCUCCAGCACUACACCUUCAGUCGAAAGUGAUGAUUAGUCUUCAUCCAAAGACAAGAAGGAUCAAGACCUUGUUUUCCAAGUCUAAUUUGCAGAAAUUUCCUGAUCCAUGAUUGCCCUGCAGACUUCAAAGCUAAAGUGCUGCCUCAACUGGGAGACUUUCAGUUCUGGUGGGACAAUGACAACAAUGAGAGGGACUCCUCUUCAGCUUCAGAUGUCAUGUCUCACAAGACAAUAGCAAGUACAUAUCUUAAGCAGCUAAACGAAAUCAAUGUCACCCUUCCCAAAAUGGAAGGAGUUUCCUUUCUUGGGGGUCUUUGGUCUACGAAUGAAGUCCUUUCCCACUCUAAUGUCUGUAUCAGUGGGAACCAUGUUUAACUGGAGCAGCCAGAAGCCAAGGGUGAGAACAAGUAUAGCAGUCCUUCUUCCUACCUGAAGCCCCAGGGCUUCAGGAAGAAACAUUUGUUCUCAUCUACCAAAAACCUGGCUGCUCAGUCUUGGAAGUAACCUGGGGAAGGAAGUGGGAUGUCUCAUGACAUGUGGCUCUUUGAGUCUUCUACCAAGAACUCUCUGAAGUCCAUGUCUCUGCCAUCCUACCAACCACUGUUCUGUGGGGACAUUAGAGAAAACACGGCUCCAGCAAACUUGGAAGCUGCAAAAGAAACCAAAGAGAGCAAGAAGCAGAAUAACGAGAGUCUUCUUUGUUUUCUGGGGUGACGGGGAAGAAGGACAUGGCUAAGAACAGUGAAGGUGAAAACCCUCUUACUGUCCUGGAGAAGGAAGGCAUGCUUAUGGAGGUCAAGCUGGGUAGGAUGCUUCAGGGCCUCUUAAAGACCUUACGAGAAGAUUGGAGAAAGAUAUUGCAGCUAUUGUCUCCAGAAGGGGUAACUCCCUGAACCCCUUUGAAGAUGUGCAGAUCACAGAACCAAAAGCUGACCCAGAAUCCAAGUCUGAACAGAAUCACCAAUUCUCUCUGUGAUGACUCCAAAAACCAGAGGUGUCAAACCUUGACUUCAUCCUGUGAAGCCAAUGAACACAAUGGCCACCAAGAUUGCUAUCUCUAGCUUGGGAACUGCCACCAUCAUCAGAACUUGAUCAACAAGACCACGAUGAAGAAAACCCCUCGGAUUCUGCUUUUGCGUAUGCACAGCUAACCCAGAAUGAGCUUAUCCAGCUGCUCCUCAAACAGAAGAAAACAAUAAUAAGAAAAUAAUAAUAAGAGGGAUUUCCAGGAUCCUGAGCUGGAAGACUAUACUGACAACCUGCCAGUCAUGGAAGAAACCCCCACACUCCACAUUCUGGCUCAGGUUAGCAAAAAAUGCGGGAAAGAUGUAAAUCACCAGAAUUAAACAUGGGCAUGUUUCCGUGAGUUUGUUUCCGCCUGUUCUUGAGGUAAAGGACUCGCUAUGCCUCAUAACCAGCUAGCAGGUUCCGAAUCACCAUCUCCCUCACGUGUUAUCUGGCAAGAGUUAAUUCUACCAGUUGAAGCCAGGUUAAUAAUUACAGUGAAUCUUUUACCGUGGGUCCCCAAGACUCUAUUUUUAAAUGCCACUGUGCCUUUAACUAGAUUAUAAGUAUUUUAUGGCCACCAGAGACAUGAUCCUAAGUUCUGAUCCUGAGCCAGAGAUUCAGAUGGCACAGGAGGUAUUAAUGUAUUUCAACAAUGGGGUUUUCUUUCUUUCAUACUGAGAUUUUUUUCAAUAUGUAUCCUCCAACUGUUAAAGCUUACCUGAGAAAGCUUUAAAUAAGAAAAGGACCAUGCAAUAGUUGCUGUGUUACAUACGUGUACUUUCUCAGCUUUUGAGUAGCACAGUUGUGGCUUUUGGCUGCAGAUGCUAAAUUUUUGAUACCAUGUAAAUGUACCCAACUUCUCAGACUUGGGUCCUGUUUUUAAUCUUUUUUUUUUUAAUGGGAGCCGAAACGUUUAGAGAAAGCUUCUGGGUGUGCCUUUCAGAUUUUGAACAAGCUGCCUUGUCUAAACAUCAACUUCUACUACUCUCUAGCCUUAAAAUGUGCUCUAUUUAGAUCCACAGGACCCUUCUACUGGAGAUAUGAAAAACAGAAUACAGAAAUUAAGAGAAUCACUUUUUACUCAGUUAGGGGAAGUUAGUCAAAGCCCUGCUCUUGCAACAGCAGAUUUCCUGCUGGCCACCUGUUCAGCACCUUGAUAGGGGAUUGGGUGAUCAAAGCACUCACGAAAACAGUUCAUUCAGGUAUGGAAUGUCAGAAUUCCUUUGGCCAUUUUCUCCUGAGUCUUUGCUAGGUCCCCUGGUUUCCUUGGCAGCACUUCCUGGAUGGAGGACAGGGUCCACCAACUUCUCAAGACAUUGAGUCUUGAGACACAAGAAACCACAGACUUCGACCCUGAAGGACCUAACUCUGUCCAUAUGUCUGUCCUUUGAAUACUUCCUGUCCCUGCCUAAAAGGAAACCCAAACUGUUUCUAUGAUACUGGGGAAGUUGUAGUGAGGGUCUUAAUGCAGUUAAUAAUCUAAAAGCCAGUAGAAAACCAAAAUGCCUCAGCUUUAAAUGGUUGUUUCUUUUUUAUUUUCCAUAAUGAAUAGACUCACAGGCAUUUUACCCCCUUGUUAUAAAAUUGUGAAGAGAAAGAAGAUGACACAUUUUUGGACUGCUGUAUUUUAUGUAUUUAUUUUUGAGACAAAGUCUUGCUCUCCUCGCCCAGGCUG